AGGAACUUUUUCUUUAAACUAUUUUAUAUCAUUUUAGUAAAGAAGAUGUUUAUUUGCUCUAUCUUAUGUUUAUUGAGGUGAGGUUGAUGCUUUAACUCACCGUUUAUGAAUUAGAGUCGUCUUUCUUUUUCAUUAAGAAGAAAUGUUAGUAUUGAUUUAUUAUAGAAGUAGUUAAUUUAAUAUGGCGUUCUAGCAGAAUUUUAUGUAAAUUUAAUUUAUACGUUAUACUAAGAGUCAAAACUACAAGUCUAUCUUCAUGAAUUAGGCGAGCCCAUAGGCAUAAUGUAAAUUGUAAAAUCACAUGUCCUGUCCACCUUGGUGUUCUUCAUUCAGCUCUGGAGAA
rnacentral:lncRNA from 1 species